rnacentral:rRNA from 1 species
CCUACGGGAGGCAGCAGUGGGGAAUAUUGGGCAAUGGGCGCAAGCCUGACCCAGCAACGCCGCGUGAAGGAAGAAGGCUUUCGGGUUGUAAACUUCUUUUCUCAGGGACGAAAAAAGUGACGGUACCCGAUGAAUAAGCCUCGGCUAACUACGUGCCAGCAGCCGCGGUAAUACGUAGGUGGCAAGCGUUAUCCGGAUUUACUGGGUGUAAAGGGCGGGUAGGCGGGAAAGCAAGUCAGAGGUGAAAACUCAGGGCUCAACCCUGAGCCUGCAUUGGAAACUGUUCUUCUUGAGUGCUGGAGAGGUAAGCGGAAUUCCGGGGGUAGCGGUGAAAUGCGUAGAUAGAAGGAGGAACACCAGUGGCGAAGGCGGAUUGCUGGACAGUAACUGACGCUGAGGCGCGAAAGCGUGGGGAGCAAACAGGAUUAGAUACCCCAGUAGUC